AUUGAACGCUGGCGGCAUGCUUUACACAUGCAAGUCGAACGGUAACAGGGAGCUCGCUCCGCUGACGAGUGGCGAACGGGUGAGUAAUGCGUCGGAACGUGCCGAGUAGUGGGGGAUAACGCACCGAAAGGCGUGCUAAUACCGCAUACGUACUGAGGUAGAAAGUGGGGGACCUACGGGCCUCACGCUAUCCGAUCGGUCGACGUCGAAUUAGCUAUUUGGUGAGGUAAUGGCUCACCAAGGCGACGAUCAGUAGCGGGUCUGAGAGGAUGAUCCUCUACACUGGGACUAAGACACGGCCCAGACUCCUACGGGAGGCAGCAGUGGGGAAUUUUGGACAAUGGGCGCAAGCCUGAUCCAGCCAUGCCGCGUGUCUGAAGAAAGCCUUCGGGUUGUAAAGGACUUUUGUCCGGGAGCAAAUGCCUGGUGUUAAUAGCACUGGGAGCUGAGAGUACCGGAAGAAUAAGCACCGGCUAACUACGUGCCAGCAGCCGCCGUAAUAC
rnacentral:rRNA from 1 species